ensembl:lncRNA
AUGGGGUGUGGGGCACAGCGCUGUGGGGCACAUGGACAGCGUUAUGGGGCACAUGGAGAGUGCUAUGGGGGGUGAUGCUGUGGGGCACAGUGCUGUGGGACACAUGGACAGCGCUAUGGGGUGUGAUGCUGUGGGGCACAGCGCUGUGGGGCACAAGGAUGGUGCUGUGGGGCACACGGUGCUAUGGGGUGUGGGGUGCAGUGCUGUGGGGCACAUGGAGAGCGCUAUGGGGGGUGAUGCUGUGGGGCACAGCGCUGUGGGGCACAGCGCUGUGGGGCACAUGGACAGCGCUAUGGGGCACAUGGACAGCGCUGUGGGGUGUGAUGCUGUGGGGCACAGCGCUGUGGGGCACAGGGAUGGCGCUGUGGGGCACAGUGGCAGCGCUAUGGGGCACAGUGGCAGCACUAUGGGGCGCAGUGACAGCGCUAUGGGGCACAGGGGUGGCUCUGUGGGGCAGAAGGAUGGCACUGUGGGGCCCAGGGAUGGCUCUAUGGGGCACAGCGGUGGUUCUAUGGGGCACAGUGACAGCGCUAUGGGGCACAGGGAUGGCUCUAUGGGGCACAGGGAUGGCUCUGUGGGGCACAGCAGUGGUUCUGUGGGGCACAGUGGCAGCGCUAUGGGGCACAGGGAUGGCGCUAUGGGCCACAGUGGCUGCGCUAUGGGGCACAGGGAUGGCGCUGUGGGACAGAAUGGUGGCACUAUGGGGCACAGUGGCAGCGCUAUGGGGCACAGCGGUGGUUCUAUGGGGCACAGGGAAGCCGCUAUGGGGCACAGUGGCGGCGCUAUGGGGCGCAGAGACAGCGCUAUGGGGCACAGGGAUGGCUCUAUGGGGCACAGCGGUGGUGCUAUGGGGCACAGUGGCAGCGCUAUGGGGCACAGUGACGGCGCUAUGGGGCACAGGGAUGGCUCUGUGGGGCACAGCGGUGGUGCUAUGGGGCACAGUGGCAGCGCUAUGGGGCACAGUGGCAGCACUAUGGGGCGCAGUGACAGCGCUAUGGGGCACAGGGGUGGCUCUGUGGGGCAGAAGGAUGGCACUGUGGGGCCCAGGGAUGGCUCUAUGGGGCACAGCGGUGGUUCUAUGGGGCACAGUGACAGCGCUAUGGGGCACAGGGAUGGCUCUAUGGGGCACAGGGAUGGCUCUGUGGGGCACAGCAGUGGUUCUGUGGGGCACAGUGGCAGCGCUAUGGGGCACAGGGAUGGCGCUAUGGGCCACAGUGGCUGCGCUAUGGGGCACAGGGAUGGCGCUGUGGGACAGAAUGGUGGCACUAUGGGGCACAGUGGCAGCGCUAUGGGGCACAGCGGUGGUUCUAUGGGGCACAGGGAAGCCGCUAUGGGGCACAGUGGCGGCGCUAUGGGGCGCAGAGACAGCGCUAUGGGGCACAGGGAUGGCUCUAUGGGGCACAGCGGUGGUGCUAUGGGGCACAGUGGCAGCGCUAUGGGGCACAGUGACGGCGCUAUGGGGCACAGGGAUGGCUCUGUGGGGCACAGCGGUGGUGCUAUGGGGCACAGUGGCAGCGCUAUGGGGCACAGUGGCAGCACUAUGGGGCGCAGUGACAGCACUAUGGGGCACAGGGAUGGCUCUAUGGGGCACAGCGGUGGUGCUAUGGGGCGCAGUGGCAGCGCUAUGGGGCACAGCGGUGGUUCUAUGGGGCACAGGGAUGGCGCUAUGGGGCACAGUGACGGCGCUAUGGGGCACAGGGAUGGCUCUAUGGGGCACAGUGGCAGCGCUAUGGGGCACAGUGGCAGCACUAUGGGGCGCAGUGACAGCACUAUGGGGCACAGCGGUGGUGCUAUGGGGCACAGCGGUGGUGCUAUGGGGCGCAGAGACAGCGCUAUGGGGCACAGGGAUGGCUCUAUGGGGCACAGCGGUGGUGCUAUGGGGCACAGUGGCAGCGCUAUGGGGCGCAGUGGCGGCGCUAUGGGGCACAGUGACGGCGCUAUGGGGCACAGGGAUGGCUCUAUGGGGCACAGUGGCAGCGCUAUGGGGCACAGUGGCAGCACUAUGGGGCGCAGUGACAGCACUAUGGGGCACAGCGGUGGUGCUAUGGGGCACAGCGGUGGUGCUAUGGGGCGCAGUGGCAGCGCUAUGGGGCACAGCGGUGGCUCUAUGGGGCACAGCGGUGGCUCUAUGGGGCACAGUGGCAGCGCUAUGGGGCACAGUGACAGCGCUAUAGGGCACAGGGGUCUCGCUAUGGGGCCCAGGGAUGGCUCUAUGGGGCACAGGGACAGCGCUAUGGGGCACAGGGAUGGCUCUAUGGGGCACAGCGGCAGCGCUAUGGGGCACAGGGAUGGCUCUAUGGGGCACAGUGGCAGCGCUAUGGGGCACAGGGAUGGCUCUAUGGGGCACAGUGGCGGCGCUAUGGGGCGCAGUGGCAGUGCUAUGGGGCACAGGGAUGGCUCUAUGAGGCGCAGUGAAAGUGCUAUGGGGCGCAGUGACAGUGCUAUGGGGCACAGGGGUGGCUCUGUAGGGCAGAAUGGUGGCACUAUGGGGCCCAGUGGUGGCGCUAUGGGGCACAGGGAUGGCUCUAUGGGGCACAGUGGCAGCGCUAUGGGGAGCAGUGGCAGUGCUAUGGGGCACAGGGAUGGCUCUAUGGGGCACAGCGGUGGCUCUAUGGGGCACAGGGAUGGCUCUAUGGGGCACAGCGGUGGUGCUAUGGGGCACAGUGGCAGCGCUAUGGGGCACAGUGGCAGCGCUAUGGGGCACAGUGGCGGCGCUAUGGGGCACAGUGGCAGCGCUAUGGGGCACAGUGACGGCGCUAUGGGGCACAGGGAUGGCUCUAUGGGGCACAGCGGUGGUGCUAUGGGGCACAGUGGCAGCGCUAUGGGGCACAGUGGCAGCACUAUGGGGCGCAGUGACAGCACUAUGGGGCACAGUGAUGGCUCUAUGGGGCACAGCGGUGGUGCUAUGGGGCGCAGUGGCAGCGCUAUGGGGCACAGCGGUGGCUCUAUGGGGCACAGUGGCAGCGCUAUGGGGCACAGUGACAGCGCUAUGGGGCACAGGGGUCUCGCUAUGGGGCCCAGGGAUGGCUCUAUGGGGCACAGGGACAGCGCUAUGGGGCACAGGGAUGGCUCUAUGGGGCACAGCGGCAGCGCUAUGGGGCACAGGGAUGGCUCUAUGGGGCACAGUGGCGGCGCUAUGGGGCGCAGUGGCAGUGCUAUGGGGCACAGGGAUGGCUCUAUGGGGCACAGCGGUGGUGCUAUGGGGCACAGUGGCAGCGCUAUGGGGCGCAGUGCCAGCGCUAUGGGGCACAGUGGCAGCGCUAUGGGGCACAGUGCCGGCGCUAUGGGGCACAGGGAUGGCGCUAUGGGGCACAGGGAUGGCUCUAUGGGGCGCAGUGGCGGCGCUAUGGGGCGCAGUGACAGCGCUAUGGGGCACAGUGGCAGCGCUAUGGGGCUCAGUGACAGCGCUAUGGGGCACAGUGACAGCGCUAUGGGGCACAGCGACGUCCGGAGGUGACACAUUGGUGUCCCCCGGCGGUGUCACGUGACCUCAUCACACAUUGAUGUCCCCGGCGGAGUCACGUGACGCUGUCACAGCGCCCCCCCCUUCGGUGGUGUCACGUGACCUCAUCGCAUAUUGGUCGCCCCCCCUUCGGUGGUGUCACGUGACCUCAUCGCAUAUUGGUGUCCCCGGCGGUAUCACGUGACCUCAUCGCACAUCGGUGUCCCCGGCGGUGUCACGUGACGUUGUCACAGUGCCGCCCCCCCCCCCCCCCCCCCAAAAAACCCGGUGGUGUCACGUGACCUCAUCAGGCAUCCGUGUGCCCCGGCGGUGUCACGUGACGCUGUCACAGCGCUGUUCCCGGGCGGUGUCACGUGACCUCGUCGCACAUUGGUGUCCCCGGCGGUGUCACGUGACGCUGUCACAGCGCCCCCUCCCCCGUUGGUGUCACGUGACCUCAUCGCACGUUGGUUUCCCCCGGCGGUGUCACGUGACGUUAUCACACAUCGGUGUCCCCGGCGGUGUCACGUGACGUUGUCACAGUGCCGGGCCCCCCCCCCCCCCCCCCCCCGGUGGUGUCACGUGACUCUGUCACACAUUGGUGUCCCCCCCGGCGGUGUCACGUGACUCUGUCACACAUUGGUGUCCCUCCCCGGGGGGGGGGGGUUGGAACACAGCGAUGGGGACACCGAAGGGGGGGGGGGUCAGCUCGGUGACGUCAUUGGUGACGUCAUUGGGGACCCCCUGUGGGCUCAUCCUUUGGGGACAUCAGUGGGGACACUCCUUAAGGACACCCUAUGGGGACAGCAUUGGGGACAUCAGUGGGGACAUCAGUUUGGUGACGUCAUCAGCAUUGGGGACAACAUUGGGGACGUCAGUGGGGACAUCAGUG